GCCCGUGACUCGGCGAGAAGUCCAUUGAACCUUAUCAUUUAGAGGAAGGAGAAGUCGUAACAAGGUUUCCGUAGGUGAACCUGCGGAAGGAUCAUUG
rnacentral:rRNA from 1 species